rnacentral:rRNA from 1 species
GGGGGAUAAACGAUGGAAACGUCGUCUAAUACCGCAUAACAGCCGAGGGGGCAUCUCCUUGGUUUGAAAGCUUCGGUGGAUACGGAUGAGCUCGCGAGACAUUAGUUAGUUGGCGGGGUAACGGCCCACCAAGACCGCGAUGUCUAGGGGAACUGAGAGGUUGGUCCCCCACACUGGAACUGAGACACGGUCCAGACUCCUACGGGAGGCAGCAGUGAGGAAUAUUGGACAAUGGCCGGAAGGCUGAUCCAGCCAUGCCGCGUGAAGGAUAAGGUCCUAUGGAUUGUAAACUUCUUUUGAGUGGGAGCAAUAAGGAUGUCGAGACAUCCGAUGAGAGUACCAUUUGAAUAAGCAUCGGCUAACUCCGUGCCAGCAGCCGCGGUAAUACGGAGGAUGCGAGCGUUAUCCGGAUUUAUUGGGUUUAAAGGGUGCGUAGGCGGUUUGUCAAGUCAGCGGUGAAACGCAAGGGCUCAACCCUUGACCUGCCGUUGAAACUGAUUGACUAGAAUGCGGAUGCUGUGGGAGGAAUGUGUGGUGUAGCGGUGAAAUGCAUAGAUAUCACACAGAACACCGAUUGCGAAGGCAUCUCACAAAUCCGUGAUUGACGCUGAGGCACGAAAGUGUGGGGAUCAAACAGGAUUAGAUACCCUGGUAGUCCACACUGUAAACGAUGAUAACUCGCUGUCGGCGAUACACAGUCGGUGGCCAAGCGAAAGCGAUAAGUUAUCCACCUGGGGAGUACGACCGCAAGGUUGAAACUCAAAGGAAUUGACGGGGGCCCGCACAAGCGGAGGAACAUGUGGUUUAAUUCGAUGAUACGCGAGGAACCUUACCCGGGCUCGAACGGUACAGGAAGGAUCAAGAGAUUGAGACGCCCUUCGGGGCCUGUAUCGAGGUGCUGCAUGGUUGUCGUCAGCUCGUGCCGUGAGGUGUCGGCUUAAGUGCCAUAACGAGCGCAACCCUUGCCAUUAGUUACCAGCACGUAAAGGUGGGGACUCUAGUGGGACUGCCACCGUAAGGUGAGAGGAGGGGGGGGAUGACGUCAAAUCAGCACGGCCCUUACGUCCGGGGCGACACACGUGUUACAAUGGUGGGUACAGAGGGCAGCUACCUGGUGACAGGAUGCAAAUCUCGAAAACCCAUCUCAGUUCGGAUCGGAGUCUGCAACUCGACUCCGUGAAGUUGGAUUCGCUAGUAAUCGC